AGCAGUCGCCGCGGGAAUACGUAGGUGGCAAGCGUUGUCCGGAAUUAUUGGGCGUAAAGGGCUCGCAGGCGGUUUCUUAAGUCUGAUGUGAAAGCCCCCGGCUCAACCGGGGAGGGUCAUUGGAGACUGGGAAACUUGAGUGCAGAAGAGGAGAGUGGAAUUCCACGUGUAGCGGUGAAAUGCGUAGAGAUGUGGAGGAACACCAGUGGCGAAGGCGACUCUCUGGUCUGUAACUGACGCUGAGGAGCGAAAGCGUGGGGAGCGAACAGGAUUAGAUACCCCCGUAGUCCCUGUCUCUUAUAC
rnacentral:rRNA from 1 species